GACUCAUAUGCUGACAUUUAGCACGCAGCGACGGACUAGCAUAUCAGUUUAGUGGGGUCACUGCGCUGAAGAGUCUAAAAGUUUCUAAGAAUGGUUUCAAAUACCAGCAGAUCAAGUUAGGAUGCAGAUUCUCAAGCCCACGUGCUGUUUGUCCUUCCGAAAGAAGAUUGUUCUGGGAUUGAGUUUCUACAGGCUGCGGACUUUGGCACCCAAUCAUCCAUUCUUGGGUUAGGCAUAGAAGUUGAAGUUACAGAAUUUUCUAUCUGACUCUCUGAUGUACCCACACACUGUGUAGAUCAAACAUUAUCCUCCAUAGCAUUAUCCGCACAAUCAGAAAUUGCCUCGGGAAGGCGAGUUUUUGAGCCCGGGUGCUCAUUCAUCUCUUAUGAUCUCCCUUUGUUUCCUAUAACCUUCUUCCCACCUUGUUCUCCCUCAAUCAUGGGUGCAUCAAGAUUAAAGCCAUCCAACCUGGAUAGCACAAAUGACUGCUAAGUUCCUAGAUUGCAAUCACAAGUCAUGAACGAAUAAGCCCAAAUGUAUACAUUGUGAAGCUGUCUUACUCACUAAAACCAAAGGAGAAAGAAAAUCUUUUCUUGGAA